rnacentral:rRNA from 1 species
GGUGAACGCUGGCGGCGUGCCUAAGACAUGCAAGUCGAGCGGGCCGCGGGGUUUUACUCCGUGGUCAGCGUCGGACGGGUGAGUAACGCGUGGGUGACCUACCCGGAAGAGGGGGACAACCCGGGGAAACUCGGGCUAAUCCCCCAUGUGGACCCGCCCCUUGCGGUGUGUCCAAAGGGCUUUGCCCGCUUCCGGCGGGGCCGGCGUCCCAUCAGGUAGUUGGUUGGGUAAUUGCCCACCAAGGCGACGACCGGGAGCCGGACUGAGAGGGUGGCCGGUGAGAGGCGGACCGGGCCACGGGCGGAAGUACUACGGGAGGAAGCAGUGAGGAAGGUGACGGAAUGGCGGAAAGCCGGAGGGAGCGACGCCGAGGGGAGGAAGAAGUACUUCGGGGUGAAAACGCAUGAACCCGGGACGAAACCACCGACGAGGUGACGGACGGUACCGGGGUAAUAGCGCCGGCCAACUCCGUG